rnacentral:piRNA from 1 species
UUCCUUCUAGCAUCUGGAAGCUGGAGAAGCUC